rnacentral:precursor_RNA from 1 species
GAACCUUCAGAUUUCAGAUUUGAUUAGGGUUUUAGCGUCUUCGGACCAGGCUUCAUUCCCCCCAAUUGUUGCUCCCUGUUUACUCCAUAUUUCUUCCUUCUUUUCAAAUAAGGGUUUCAGAUCCAGUGAAUGAACCCUUGUUAAAGGUUUGAUCUCUUACCUUACUUUCUCAGAUUCAUUUACAUGCGUUAUUGAUUGUUUGCAUGGAAAGAAAUAGUUUUCUUUUUUAAAUAGGUCUUUGGGGACCGAUAGAAAAAAAAAGUUUUCAGGUAUUUGCAGAUUGGUGUAAUGAUGAAAAAAUCUGACUUUCUUUCUCCUCUUGGAAUCUGAAAAGUUUCAUCAUGACAAACUUUUUAUACAUGUGUUUGUAUUUUUGAACUUUUCUACAUUGCUAUGAUUUUGCUAUGAUUGUUUCCUUUUGGAUCUUCAUGGUAUUGAAUGAUGAUGACGAUGAUAGUUUUUAUUCAGAUCUGUUUGUUUCUUAGCACACUAGAUCUAUAUUUGUGACACAAACUANGGGUUUCAUGAUUCUAUAAUUAUGAUUUCUG